AUUGAACGCUGGCGGCAGGCCUAACACAUGCAAGUCGAACGGUAACAGGAAGACGCUUGCUUCUUUGCUGACGAGUGGCGGACGGGUGAGUAAUGUCUGGGAAACUGCCUGAUGGAGGGGGUUAACUACUGGAAACGGUAGCUAAUACCGCAUAACGUCGCAAGACCAAAGAGGGGGACCUUCGGGCCUCUUGCCAUCGGAUAUGCCCAGAUGGGAUUAGCUAGUAGGGGGGGUAACGGCUCACCUAGGCGACGAUCCCUAGCUGGUCUGAGAGGAUGACCAGCCACACGGGAAGUGAGGCACGGUCCAGACUCCGACGGGAGGCAGCAGUCGGGAAUAUUGCACGAGGGGCCAAAGCGGGAUAUAGCCAUGCCGGGGGUAGGCAGAAGGCCUUCGGGUUGGAAAGUACUGUAAGCGGGGAGGAAGUAAGGAAAGUUAAUACCGGAUCUUAUUGACGUUACCCGGAGAAGAAGCACCGGCUAACUCCGUG
rnacentral:rRNA from 1 species